CCUACGGGAGGCAGCAGUGAGGAAUAUUGGUCAAUGGACGAGAGUCUGAACCAGCCAAGUAGCGUGAAGGAUGACUGCCCUCUGGGUUGUAAACUUCUUUUAUAUGGGAAUAAAAUGUUCCACGUGUGGGAUUUUGUAUGUACCAUAUGCAUAAGGAUAGGCUAACUCAGUGCCAGCCGCCGCGGUAAUACGGAGGAUCCGAGCGUUAUCCGGAUUUAUUGGGUUUAAAGGGAGCGUAGGUGGAUUGUUAAGUCAGUUGUGAAAGUUUGCGGCUCAACGGUAAAAUUGCAGUUGAAACUGGCAGGCGUGAGUACAGUAGAGGUGGGCGGAAUUCGAGGUGUAGCAGUGAAAUGCUUAGAUAUCUCGAAGAACUCCGAUUGCGAAGGCAGCUCACUGGACUGCAACUGACACUGAGGCGCGAAAGUGUGGGUAUCAAACAGGAUUAGAUACCCGGGUAGUC
rnacentral:rRNA from 1 species